rnacentral:lncRNA from 10 species
AUCAGAGAGAUGCAGUCAUGAGGGUCAGGUGUGGUAUCCGGAAUAACGUGGGAGGCUAGAUUGAAGUUCAUGCCAGGAACAAUGGUAAUUGUGGGAGACUCAACAAAGAGUGAGUAUAGCUGAAGGAGCUGGGGAGCAGAAAGUAUAUGCGUCAGGUGUGAGGAAGAAAAUAGAUUUUGGAAGUUAUGAGAAAUGUAGAGUGAGUUGAGCAUAGUUUGUGAUUUUGAGGGCCUCUAAAAGUAUUAAAGCAGCGGCAGCCGCUGCACGCAGACAUGAGGGCUAGGCUAAAACAGUAAGGUCAAGUUGUUUGCACAGAAAGGCUACAGGGUGCGGUCGCAGCUCUUGCGUAAGAAUUCUGCCCGCACUAACCAUGCCUAGGAAGGAAACGAGUUGUUGUUUUGUAGAAGGGAUUGGGGUUUGGGAGAUUAGCCGGACACGAUCAGCAGGGAGAGCACAUGUGUUUUUAUGAGAAUUAUGCCGAGAUAGGUAACAGAUGAGGAAGAAAUUUGGGCAUGACUGAAGUAAUGGGGGCUGUCUGUGAAGACUUGCGGCAGUACAGCCCAGUUUACCUGUGAUGUGUGGCAUUUCCUACAUGUUGCUGUCAAUCAUGAAAUCCACCUCAAAAACCCCAAAUCCUUCAUUCUUACUGGAGGAAUAUGACCUCUCUACAAAGGAAACUAUUCUCAAUGUUGUGGCUCUGACAUAUAUGAAAUUCAGUUACUGCAGUGUAUUUAUAUAACACCACUUCCCUAAUAACAAGGUUGAAAUGAAAUUUACUUGGGUAUAUCAACUGUGAGUAAUUGUAUAAACGUUGCUGCUAGCUCUUUAGUCCAGACAUCACUGCAAAGAUAUCAGAUGUGUCUCAUGAUCAGUGAUGAAAUCACCCCACUUCUCUCAAAGACUGUCAGGGAUUGGUCACUGUGCAUCUGUGAUUCAGUUCACAUACAAACAGAAAAUACAUAUUUGUGUUACUACCUUGUCUCCCAGUGUUAAGCCCAAGUGACAUUUUACAAAAAUGAGUAAUCAAAAGAGGUAAUAGGUCAACAAAGAUGAAGGUGUAGCAAAGGACAGAAAAGUGGUAACAAUGGAAAUGAAAUUGAAUGUGAUUAGAAGAUAGUAGACAUGGAAAUGUUGAUGCUGCUUUCUUUAGAGACACCAGACAUGCAGCCAGAGGAACUUAAUGAGGGCCAAGUUACCAGCAUAAAUGAGAAAAGUGGCUGUAAUGAGAUGUGCUGGAGUAAGUAACUCCUGAAAACAAAUAUCACGUUAGAGGAGCUACUGAAGGAUUUUCACAAUAUUAGAAGCAAAAGAGAUAAAAUGUUGAAAGCUGACUCAAACCUAGAAGAAAGGAUGGCAAUUCACUAAGGCAUGGAAAAGACCCUUGUUCCAUAUAAAAGGAGAAGGUAAUCAAUGUUUGAACUACUCUUCAUACUUCUUGUUUUUAAACAAAUUGUUUGUCAAUGUUUCAAGUAUUUCCAUUUAGCAUACACUAAAUAAAUAUUACUUUUACUGUCUCUUCAUUCCUUUUUAUGUAUGUUACUGACAAUCAAAGAAUUUCUAAUAGUUUGGCAAGUUUUUUUUUAAAAGGUCACAGAACUAUCAAUUUUUCACUUUGAAUUCUAAUAGCAGCUUGGCAUUAGCUCAUACUCUCAAUUUUACAGUCCACAGUGAAGACCGUCCAUUGUUAUAUGACACUGGAUAAACUACUCGUCUGCUCAAUUCAAUUAAAUAAUUCAGAAAUGCAGCAAUACAACAAAUAUAGAAACAAUCAACAACACCUUACUUGUGUUUACUAUUAUUUAUCAUAGUG